AUGACGAUCCUUUGCUGGAACUGUCGGGGUUUGGGCCACCCUGGUACAGUUCGAGAACUUGUGUGCCUAGUGCGCACAUAUCGCCCCACUGUCGUGUUCAUCUCUGAGACGCGACAGUGCGAAGAGAGCGUGAAAAGAAUAACAGAAAGAAUAGGCCUCAAACAUUGUAUCACCCACGAUGGGGUGGGCAAAGGUGCCGGCAUCGCCCUAUUUUGGGACGAUAGCGUUGAAAUAAAUUUGCUCUCUUAUGGACCGCGUUACAUUGAUGUUCAUAUCCGGUAUGAUCGGAGCAGCCCCUUGUGGAGGGGUACUUUUGUAUACGGCGAACCAAAAGCACAUGAGAGGCAUCAUAUGUGGAGUUUACUCAAAAGAAUCAAGAAGAGAUCAAGUGAACCGUGGAUGAUGGUGGGUGAUUUUAAUGAAACAAUGUGGCAAGGGGAGCACUUCUUGGCCGUAAAAAGGUCUGAACGUAACAUGGGUAAUUUCAGAGAAUGCUUGGGGUGGUGUGGACUGUACGAUCUUGGGUAUAAAGGACCGGAGUGGACCUACGAUAAUAAGCAGAGGGGGAGGAAUAAUGUGAGAGCAAGGUUAGACAGAGGGGUAGCUUCAACUGACUGGAAUGAUUUGUUCCCACAAGCACAGAUCCAACAUGUGGUGACCUCGAGAUCACUCCAGGGAACUUCCCCCUGGUUUUAUCGUUGGGUGGUAAUCAGCAAGGGCGCAAAAAUAAGUAUUUCAAGUAUGAGAUGA
rnacentral:rRNA from 1 species